UUGCUGUGAUGAAGGAUAAAACAAUACGAAACUUUCUGGAUAUGGUUGGUUGAUGAAAGUCAAUCCUGAGCGGUUACCUGAGCAA